UUCUAGCUGGCAUCAUUCCUGGAGAGUCGCCAGCAUGCUACCAGCCUCGGCUAUGGGGAGGAGAGCCAAGCAGAGGCAUACCCAUUCCAUUCCUAGCUUGGGCAGUGGCUAGUGAGUGGAAGGCAAUCUGCUACAAGU